rnacentral:rRNA from 1 species
AUUCCAGCUCCAAUAGCGUAUACUAAAGUUGUUGCAGUUAAAAAGCUCGUAGUUGAAUUUCUGGUCGUGGCGACCGGUCCGCCCCUCACGGGGUGUGCACCUGGUCUCUACGUCCAUCCUCGGGGAGAGCGUGUCUGGCAUUCAGUUGUCGGGCGCGGGAUCCUCGUCAUUUACUGUGAGCAAAAUAGAGUGUUCAAAGCAGGCUUAGGCCGUUGAAUACAUUAGCAUGGAAUAAUAAGAUAGGACCUUGGUCUAUUUUGUUGGUUUGCAUUCCAAGGUAAUGAUUAAUAGGGAUAGUUGGGGGUAUUCGUAUUCAAUUGUCAGAGGUGAAAUUCUUGGAUUUAUGGAAGACGAACUACUGCGAAAGCAUUUACCAAGGAUGUUUUCAUCA